AACGAACGCUGGCGGCAUGCCUAACACAUGCGAGUCGAACGAGACCUUCGGGUCUAGUGGCGCACGGGUGCGUAACGCGUGGGAACCUGCCCCUAGGUUCGGAAUAACUCCCCGAAAGGGGUGCUAAUACCGGAUAAUGUCUUCGGACCAAAGAUUUAUCGCCUUUGGAUGGGCCCGCGUUGGAUUAGCUAGUUGGUAGGGUAAAAGCCUACCAAGGCGACGAUCCAUAGCUGGUCUGAGAGGAUGAUCAGCCACACUGGGACUGAGACACGGCCCAGACUCCUACGGGAGGCAGCAGUGGGGAAUAUUGGACAAUGGGCGAAAGCCUGAUCCAGCAAUGCCGCGUGAGUGAUGAAGGCCUUAGGGUUGUAAAGCUCUUUUAUCCGGGAUGAUAAUGACAGUACCGGGAGAAUAAGCUCCGGCUAACUCCGUG
rnacentral:rRNA from 1 species